rnacentral:lncRNA from 1 species
AUGACCGAGUGUCGGGGUGGCUGCCACCCACACUCAGGCCGGCUCUGUGUUCCCACCGUUUUGAUACAAUGGGCGAUUUUAAGAAGAGCUCGGGGCACAAACAGAACCGCAGCUGCUGUUUCUGGACCGGAUUUCAGGCUUGUAGACGCUGCGCCUGGUGACACCGGUAUCCUCGUGCCCUCUGUGGAGGCCGGGUGGCCUGCGUCUGAGGGGCGAGGCUGGGGUCCGGAGUCCGGGUGGCCUGCGUCCGCGGGGCGAGGCCGGGGUCCGGCUCCAGGUGGCCGGUGUCCGAGGAGCGAGGUUGGGGUCCGGGUCCGGGGUCCGGGCGGCCUGCGUCUGCGGGGCGAGGCUGGGGUCCGGCUCCGGGGUUCGGGCGGCCUGCGUCCGCGGGGCAAGGCUGGGGUCCGGGUCCGGGAGGCCUGCGUCCGCGGGGCGAGGCCGGGGUCCGGCUCCGGGAGGCCCGCGUCCGAGGGGCGAGGCCGGGGUCCGGGGUCCGGCUCCGGGUGGCUGCGUCCGAGGGGCGAGGCUGGGGUCUGGGGUCCGGGGUUCAGGCGGCCUGCGUCCGAGGGGCGAGGCGCGAGGCCGGGGUCCGGCUCCGGGUGCCUGCGUCUGAGGGCGAGGC